GGAGACCUCCCACUCUGAGGACCAGAAGAGCAGAUAAGAAGGGAGGCUGGGUCAGCCCUCACUGUGGGCUCAGGAAGCAGGGACUUGGGCAUCUCAGCCAUGGCCUGGGCUCCACUGCUCCUCACAGUCCUGGCUCACUGCACAGGGUCCUGGGCCCAGUUUGUGCUGACUCAGCCCCAGUCUGUGUCGGGAUCCCUGGGGCAGACGGUCUCCAUAUCCUGCAAACGCGACAGUGACAACAUUGAGGAUUACUAUGUGCACUGGUACCAGCAGCACCCAGGCAAGACCCCCACCAUAGUCAUCUACAAUGAUGAUCAGAGACCGUCGGGGGUUCCUGAUCGGUUCUCUGGCUCCAUCGACAGCACCUCCAACUCUGCCUCCCUGACCAUCACUGGGCUGCUGGCUGAGGACGAGGCUGACUACUACUGUCUGUCUUCUGAUAGCAGUGCUAAUCCCACAGUGAUCCAGAAUCAUGGGGAAGACUCCCAGAUGCCACAGCCAAGAGAGUCUGAGAGCAGCCUCCUGAUGCCCAUGGGAUUUGAAAUAACUCUGGGUGAUGCUGAACAGGGGACCCAUGCUGUGCCCAUGAAGCGAUGCUGUCAGGAAGGAGGACUCUGA